GACGAACGCUGGCGGCGUGCUUAACACAUGCAAGUCGAACGGAAAGGCCCUGCUUUUGUGGGGUGCUCGAGUGGCGAACGGGUGAGUAACACGUGAGUAACCUGCCCUUGACUUUGGGAUAACUUCAGGAAACUGGGGCUAAUACCGGAUAGGAGCUCCUGCUGCAUGGUGGGGGUUGGAAAGUUUCGGCGGUUGGGGAUGGACUCGCGGCUUAUCAGCUUGUUGGUGGGGUAGUGGCUUACCAAGGCUUUGACGGGUAGCCGGCCUGAGAGGGUGACCGGCCACAUUGGGACUGAGAUACGGCCCAGACUCCUACGGGAGGCAGCAGUGGGGAAUAUUGCACAAUGGGCGGAAGCCUGAUGCAGCAACGCCGCGUGCGGGAUGAAGGCCUUCGGGUUGUAAACCGUUUUCGCCUGUGACGAAGCGUGAGUGACGGUAAUGGGUAAAGAAGCACCGGCUAACUACGUG
rnacentral:rRNA from 1 species